rnacentral:lncRNA from 1 species
GUCUAGGGGGGCGCAAGAGUACGGGCCCCCCCCCCUCCACCAUGGGCCUGCUUCUGCAGUAAAAAUAAAAUGGUGUUUAAAUUUAUAGAAAAGCUAUUAUUAUAUAAUUUACAUUUACAUUUACCCUGUCCCACGAAACAUGAUAUAGUGAUUAGUUUAGAAUGCCUUUUUCCAUUAUUUGUCAAAUUGUUUGAUACCAAAUAUCAAUACAAAUAAUAUAUGAAAGUCAUAUUAUAUUGAAAUUGAUUUCAAAGUAAAAUAUAAUUAAGCAAAAGAUUUGUCUAACUAAAAAUAUCUAUGUAUUGAAUGUCAUGUUUUGCGGGACACCCUGUAUAUUACAGUAGACCCGACUCUGAAGGGAUAAAAUUUUUGAUUAUUUUUAUAUUGAUUUUAAAGUGUAAGGUUUUAUUUAAUGGUGCUAAAGGUCGUAAAGAUUAGUGCGAAUUUUAUGUGACAAAUAUUCAUUUGCUUUACCUGUUUUGUUUUAGAUUCAACCGCUAGAUGGAGUUAGAAACAAAGAAGAAAAUAGUUUGUUUAUUAGUUUUCAUUUUUCUUGCGAAAUUUGGGCUACUUAACUAUUGAUAUUUUUGUAAAAUUAUUUAAUAAAUUCCUUUAUUUUCUUUAAUUAUUUUUAGUUGAACGUCCUGUGGCUGUUGAUGGAUAUAGUUCAAUGUUAGUUAUUUUGGAUAUUACUCCGCGAGUACAAACAAAGAAAAAGUUCCAAUCGCCAUGUUUUGUUAGUAAAGUUUUUAAUUUGGAAUUAUUCACAUGCUUCAGCUUAAUUGUGGUAAGCUUCACUUCCAGCAUCUGGUCAGGGAGAUCACCCAGGACUUAAUCAAGACUGAUCAAAGGUUCCAGAGUGCUGUUAUCGGAGCUCUUCAGAAAAGGGGAAAAGAGCAAAAUUGACAAACCUACGGCAAUCCAAGCUGGACAUAAACAAACGUCUCAGCUGCAGAGAGGUUCAUCUUCAGUAUUGUAUCCUAGAUCUAAGUUUGAGAUCUGUUGUACAGGACGGAUCUUCUCUACAGGAUCUGUUGUACAGGACAGAUAUUCUCUCUAGGAUCUGUUGUACAGGACGGAUAUUCUCUCCAGGAUCUGUUCUACAGGUCUACUCUACCAAAUAUCAAUGGGUUGAUCAUUCUUAAAGAGAAUAUUUACAAGCAAAGGGUUGCACACUCUCUCUCUCCUCUUCCUGUGUACUGUACUGAGUCCUUUGCGUAGCUGAUUUCUUGACACAUCAUUACAACCUGUCAGGUGUUCGUUCCUCAGUCUUCUACCUUCCUUCUCUCUACACAGUUCCCUUCUAAGUUACCUCUAAUUAUCUGGCCCUUUCUCUCUACAACAGCCCCUACUACACUCCCCCCGCUAGAUGCGUCAGUUUCUGAUACAGACACAGGGCUGAAUAUUCAUCUACCAGGAACCAGUUUCCAGCUUGACUCUGACGUAGACGAUCCCACAGAGGGGAAGGAACGAACGAAGAAAACAUUUAUUCCACUAUUCAAGUUGCAACCUCUGUCACUUUCU